rnacentral:rRNA from 1 species
CCUACGGGAGGCAGCAGUGAGGAAUAUUGGUCAAUGGCCGGGAGGCUGAACCAGCCAAGUCGCGUGAGGGAAGACGGCCCUACGGGUUGUAAACCUCUUUUGUCAGGGAGCAAGGUGCAGGUCGGGACCUGCUGUGAGAGUACCUGAAGAAAAAGCAUCGGCUAACUCCGUGCCAGCAGCCGCGGUAAUACGGAGGAUGCGAGCAUUAUCCGGUUUUAUUGGGUUUAAAGGGUGCGCAGGCGGAGGCACAAGUCAGCGGUAAAAUCGCGGGGUUCAACCCCGCACCGCAGUUGAAACUGUGUGCCUUGAGUGCGCGAAGGGUAGGCGGAAUGCGUGGUGUAGCGGUGAAAUGCAUAGAUAUCACGCAGAACUCCGAUCGCGAAGGCAGCCUACCGGCGCGCAACUGACGCUCAUGCACGAAAGCGUGGGUAUCGAACAGGAUUAGAUACCCUUGUAGUC